rnacentral:other from 1 species
CUUUACUGCCGCACAGGCAGGUUAGAAA